GGCAGAGUGGCCCGAGACGGAGCUAAGGCUCGAAGGCCACAGGGAAAUAGGAACAGCCUGGAGAAACCGGGGACUCGUUCAUACUGUGAAGAUGCAAUGAGAGGCUGGGAUGGCUGCAAGCCUCGGACGGCCCAUUGGUCCCAACUGGCCUCAUACAGAAAGCAAACCUUCAGCCUGAUUAAUACAAGAGGGGGACCAGGAAACCGAAGACAGCAAAACAAGGCAGAGAAGGCCUUGAGUCACAAAAGAAGCUACCUCACCAACGCUCAGGUUCCAAGAGCACCUGGCUCCCAGACUGGUACUGUAUGGAAUUCACUUGCCUGAGUCUAUAGCCAGGCAGAUCAGACAGACAGACAUGCUAGGGGAUACAGGAGAGAGAGAGAGAGACAGAGAGACAGAGAGACAGAGAGAGAGAGACAGAGAGAGAGACAGAGGGCCA
rnacentral:lncRNA from 1 species